UGGCUCAGGAUGAACGCUGGCGGUCUGCUUAACACAUGCAAGUCGAACGGUGUCUUCGGACAUAGUGGCGGACGGGUGAGUAACGCGUGAGAAUCUGCCUUCAGGUUGGGGACAACAGUUGGAAACGACUGCUAAUACCCAAUGUGCCGAGAGGUGAAAGCUUUAGUGCCUGAAGAUGAGCUCGCGUCUGAUUAGCUAGUUGGUGGGGUAAUGGCCUACCAAGGCGACGAUCAGUAGCUGGUCUGAGAGGAUGAUCAGCCACACUGGGACUGAGACACGGCCCAGACUCCUACGGGAGGCAGCAGUGGGGAAUUUUCCGCAAUGGGCGCAAGCCUGACGGAGCAAGACCGCGUGAGGGAGGAAGGCUCUUGGGUUGUAAACCUCUUUUAUCAGGGAAGAAGAUCUGACGGUACCUGAUGAAUCAGCAUCGGCUAACUCCGUGCCAGCAGCCGCGGUAAUACGGAGGAUGCAAGCGUUAUCCGGAUUUAUUGGGCGUAAAGCGUCCGCAGGUGGUUUUUCAAGUCUGCUGUUAAAGCGCGAGGCUUAACUUCGUACAGGCAGUGGAAACUGAAUGACUAGAGUAUGGUAGGGGUAGCGGGAAUUCCCAGUGUAGCGGUGAAAUGCGUAGAUAUUGGGAAGAACACCAGCGGCGAAAGCGCGCUACUGGGCCAUUACUGACACUCAUGGACGAAAGCUAGGGGAGCGAAAGGGAUUAGAUACCCCUGUAGUCCUAGCUGUAAACGAUGGGUACUAGGUGUUGACCGUAUCGACCCGGUCAGUGCCGUAGCUAACGCGUUAAGUACCCCGCCUGGGGAGUAUGCACGCAAGUGUGAAACUCAAAGGAAUUGACGGGGGCCCGCACAAGCGGUGGAGUAUGUGGUUUAAUUCGAUGCAACGCGAAGAACCUUACCAGGGCUUGACAUGUCGCGAAUCUCGGUGAAAGUCGAGAGUGCCUUCGGGAGCGCGAACACAGGUGGUGCAUGGCUGUCGUCAGCUCGUGUCGUGAGAUGUUGGGUUAAGUCCCGCAACGAGCGCAACCCUCGUUUUUAGUUGCCAGCAUUGAGUUGGGCACUCUAGAGAGACUGCCGGUGACAAACCGGAGGAAGGUGGGGAUGACGUCAAGUCAGCAUGCCCCUUACGUCCUGGGCUACACACGUACUACAAUGCUUCGGACAAAGGGUUGCGAGCUAGCGAUAGCAAGCUAAUCCCGUAAACCGAGGCUCAGUUCAGAUUGCAGGCUGCAACUCGCCUGCAUGAAGGAGGAAUCGCUAGUAAUCGCAGGUCAGCAUACUGCGGUGAAUACGUUCCCGGGCCUUGUACACACCGCCCGUCACACCAUGGGAGUUGGCCACGCCCGAAGUCGUUACUCCAACCGCUUGCGGAGGAGGAUGCCGAAGGCAGGGCUGAUGACUGGGGUGAAGUCGUAACAAGGUAGCCGUACCGGAAGGUGUGGCUGGAUCACCUCCUUUUAGGGAGACCUACCCGCAUUGACGCUUGAACGCAAUUUGCCAUUAAAGCCAAUGUUGGUCAUCCCAAGGUCGUUCAAGAAUAAGUGUUGGCUUUCAAACUAGCUAGGUUUGGUUUAUGGGCUAUUAGCUCAGGUGGUUAGAGCGCACCCCUGAUAAGGGUGAGGUCCCUGGUUCGAGUCCAGGAUGGCCCACCUUUGAGAGCGGUCAACCAUCAGGCAUCAGAGUUUUGUUCAAGGCUUUUGAUGACUGAGCGUUGGUAGCUUUUCUGGGGGUUUAGCUCAGUUGGUAGAGCGCCUGCUUUGCAAGCAGGAUGUCAGCGGUUCGAGUCCGCUAACCUCCACUGAGUGAAUGGUUUUUGAAGCUCAUUCUUGGAAGCGUUCAGCAACUCGUCUAGUGAUGCUAGAGAGCCUGCUGGAUUUGUUUCCAGCCAGAACCUUGAAAACUGCAUAGUACUUGUCAGGUAGAAAGAGCAACGUGUGCUUUGUUUUUGGUUUCAGUCUUAACCGACUGCGUUCAAGAGCAGGAGCAUGUGUUGUGAAAUCAUAGACACCAAUGAAUUUGUAAGUGGUCAAGCUACAAAGGGCUGAUGGUGGAUACCUAGGCA
rnacentral:rRNA from 1 species